UACGUAGGCAGCAAGCGUUGUUCGGAGUUACUGGGCGUAAAGAGUGUGUAGGCGGUUCUCUAAGUUCGGUGUGAAAUCUCCCGGCUCAACUGGGAGGGUGCGCCGGAAACUGGAGGGCUUGAGUAUGGGAGAGGAAAGCGGAAUUCCUGGUGUAGCGGUGAAAUGCGUAGAUAUCAGGAGGAACACCUGCGGUGUAGACAGCUUUCUGGACCAUCACUGACGCUGAGACACGAAAGCGUGGGUAGCAAACAGG
rnacentral:rRNA from 1 species